rnacentral:rRNA from 1 species
GCAACCUACCUUUUAUUGGGGGAUAGCCCGAAGAAAUUCGGAUUAAUACCGCAUAACACUGUUUGAGGGCAUCUGAGGACAGUUAAAGCUACGGCGAUAAAAGAUGGGCAUGCGUGUCAUUAGCUAGUUGGUUGAGGUAACGGCUCACCAAGGCGACGAUGACUAGGGGUUCUGAGAGGAUGAUCC